rnacentral:rRNA from 1 species
UUGAGCGAAGCUUUUUGGUAGUUUACUACUAGAAAUGACUGAGCGGCGAACGGGUGAGUAACGCGUGAGCAAUCUACCUUAGUUACUGGGAUAGCCCGAGGAAACUCGGAUUAAUACCGGAUAUUCUUAUUUUUUCACAUGAAGUUUUAAGGAAAGGUCAGCCGAACUAAGAUGAGCUCGCGUUCUAUCAGCUAGUUGGUGGGGUAAAAGCCUACCAAGGCUACGACGGAUAGCUGGUCUGAGAGGACGAUCAGCCACACUGGGACUGAGACACGGCCCAGACUCCUACGGGAGGCUGCAGCAGGGAAUAUUGUGCAAUGAGCGAAAGCUUGACACAGCGACACCGCGUGUGGGAUGACGGUUCUAGGAUUGUAAACCACUUUCAGGAGGGAAGAAAAUGACGGUACCUCCACAAGAAGACCCGGCCAACUAUGUGCCAGCAGCCGCGGUAAUACAUAGGGGUCAAGCGUUGUCCGGAUUUAUUGGGCGUAAAGAGCUCGUAGGCGGUUCAACAAGUCGGUCGUAAAAGUUUAGGGCUCAACCCUAAAAUGUCGAUCGAUACUGUUGUGACUAGGAUAC